CCGACUGGGAGUAGUCUAAAGUCUUCUCCAUAAUCCACACAUUCAUAUUGAACCUUAUUUGCACCUGUUGAUGCCAUCAAUGAUCACUUGCAUUGUCGGAAAAAGGCUAGGGCAUAGGCUCUCUGAUAACCACUGGGAACUUGGAGACUUCUCUGCCAAUUUGGUUGGUCUGGUAUGCCGGAGGUUUGGUCAUGUCUAUCACAAUGUUCAAAACCGGUUAACAAAAAUAUUAAUCCAUGCGUUUCUUGAUCCUGCGAAAUCAUUCACCCAACAUUAUGGUGCUGUUCAAGGGAUAUCUGCAUUGGGGCCCAGUGCGGUAGAACCUAAUCAGUGUAAACUCAUCCUUUGUCUUAGUCAUGCUGAUUGUAUUUGUUGCUUACAGAUUAGGCUGCUGCUUUUGCCAACCUCAUGACAUAUAUGCAACUUCUGGAGCCAGAACUGCAACUCGAGAAGCAGAAAAUG